CCUACGGGAGGCAGCAGUGGGGAAUAUUGGACAAUGGAGGAGACUCUGAUCCAGCAAUUCUGUGUGCACGAAGAAGGUUUUCGGAUUGUAAAGUGCUUUCAGUGGGGAAGAAGGAAGUGACGGUACCCACAGAAGAAGCGACGGCUAAAUACGUGCCAGCAGCCGCGGUAAUACGUAUGUCGCGAGCGUUAUCCGGAAUUAUUGGGCAUAAAGGGCAUCUAGGCGGACGAUCAAGUCAGGGGUGAAAACUUGCGGCUCAACUGUAAGCUUGCCUUUGAAACUGAUUGUCUAGAGUAUUGGAAAGGUGGGCGGAACUACAUGAGUAGAGGUGAAAUUCGUAGAUAUGUGUAGGAAUGCCGAUGAUGAAGAUAGCUCACUGGACGAUAACUGACGCUGAAGUGCGAAAGCUAGGGGAGCGAACAGGAUUAGAUACCCCGGUAGUC
rnacentral:rRNA from 1 species